GCGUUCUAGGAUUCAUAUAGCCGACCCCACUUAGUGGGAAAAGGCUUUGUUGUUGUUGUUGUUGUUGUUGUAGAAGAAGGCGAAGGCGAACAAGAUCAAUCGGGAGAAAAAGACUCUUCUCCACCAUUCGGGUUCAAGGCUUUUCUCCUAUAGGAUAAAGGCGCGACGGAAGGGUUCAAAAUUUCCGGAGAUCGACGUCUUUACUGACGUUUAUGUUCGGCCUGGGCAUGAGUUGACCGAGUCCCUUCAUGCGACUAUGGUGUAGAAGAGUCAGUCGGUGCUUCAAGAGUUCGUCUCCUAGCUUCCUUCGGACACGCCGAUUAAGUCUGUCGAUCCCCUUGAGGAUGUAGGGUUUCACAUCAUGACAGAGACGUUGGACCAAACUUUCGGUCGGAGACCAGGGACUUAUUGUUAGGGGAUGGGAAAUGCCAGGCGGCGGGAAAGUAUAGCCUCUUCAUCUUCGCAAUCAAAGGGCCAGGUUACGGCUUUGACGCAAGAAGUCGCUGGCCUAAGGAGUGAGCUGGCAUCG